UACGGAGGGGGCUAGCGUUGUUCGGAAUUACUGGGCGUAAAGCGCACGUAGGCGGGUCCUUAAGUCAGGGGGGAAAUCCCGGAGCUCAACUCCGGAACUGCCUUUGAUACUGGGGAUCUUGAGUCCGGAAGAGGUGAGUGGAACUCCGAGUGUAGAGGUGAAAUUCGUAGAUAUUCGGAAGAACACCAGUGGCGAAGGCGGCUCACUGGUCCGGUACUGACGCUGAGGUGCGAAAGCGUGGGGAGCAAACAGC
rnacentral:rRNA from 1 species